AUUGAACGCUGGCGGCAGGCCUAACACAUGCAAGUCGAGCGGAUGAAGGGAGCUUGCUCCCUGAUUUAGCGGCGGACGGGUGAGUAAUGCCUAGGAAUCUGCCUGGUAGUGGGGGACAACGUUUCGAAAGGAACGCUAAUACCGCAUACGUCCUACGGGAGAAAGUGGGGGAUCUUCGGACCUCACGCUAUCAGAUGAGCCUAGGUCGGAUUAGCUAGUUGGUGAGGUAAAGGCUCACCAAGGCGACGAUCCGUAACUGGUCUGAGAGGAUGAUCAGUCACACUGGAACUGAGACACGGUCCAGACUCCUACGGGAGGCAGCAGUGGGGAAUAUUGGACAAUGGGCGAAAGCCUGAUCCAGCCAUGCCGCGUGUGUGAAGAAGGUCUUCGGAUUGUAAAGCACUUUAAGUUGGGAGGAAGGGCAGUAAGUUAAUACCUUGCUGCUUUGACGUUACCAACAGAAUAAGCACCGGCUAACUUCGUGCCAGCCGCCGCUGUAAAAC
rnacentral:rRNA from 1 species